AACGAACGCUGGCGGCAUGCCUAACACAUGCAAGUCGAACGAGACCUUCGGGUCUAGUGGCGCACGGGUGCGUAACGCGUGGGAACCUGCCCUUAGGUUCGGAAUAACUCCCCGUAAGGGGUGCUAAUACCGGAUAAUGUCUUCGGACCAAAGAUUUAUCGCCUUUGGAUGGGCCCGCGUUGGAUUAGCUAGUUGGUAGGGUAAAAGCCUACCAAGGCGACGAUCCAUAGCUGGUCUGAGAGGAUGACCAGCAACACUGGGACUGCGACACGGCCCAGACUCCUACGGGAGGCAGCAGUGGGUAAUAUUGGACAAUGGGCGAAGGCCUGAUCCAGCAAUGCCGCGUGAGUGAUGAAGGCCUUAGUGUUGUAAAGCUCUUUUACCCGGGAUGAUAAUGACAGUACCGGGAGAAUAAGCUCCGGCUAACUCCGUG
rnacentral:rRNA from 1 species